rnacentral:ncRNA from 1 species
CGGUGAGCCGUGCCACGGAAUCGGGUGCUCCAAGUGGGCCAUUUUUGGUAAGCAGAACUGGCGAUGCGGGAUGAACCGGAAGUUGGGUUACGGUGCCCAACUGCGCGCUAACCUAGAACCCACAAAGGGUGUUGGUCGAUUAAGACAGCAGGACGGUGGUCAUGGAAGUCGAAAUCCGCUAAGGAGUGUGUAACAACUCACCUGCCGAAUCAACUAG